GGCAGGUUGAACCACAGAGUUUCCUUGGUGGUCAAUGGUUCUCCUUCCAAAUCUGAAUACAGAGGAGGGAAGGAGUCUGUUAACCCUAGCAAAUGCUGGAGAUACCAGCACUUAAUUACAGCACCGGAGUUCCUUGCAUUAAGUUGUGUAAAGGCUCUCCAGCUGUAUAUAGAAGCACCUAUUCAUAUUGUUAGCAAUUAUAUUGCAUGCAUACUCGUGUAUUUGCAGUUUAAAAUCAGUAUACGUGUGUGUAUAAAUAUAUAUAUACACACAUAUAUACUAAAAUAGUGUUUUAACAGUAUGUUUUGUUUUUUUCCUGCGACAAUCAGCCUUCAUUGCUGUGGGAACGGUUCUUGUUAAUCUGCAAAGAUGCUGUAUUCCUGCCUUUACAUUCCAAUUUCCAUGAGCUUUAUUUACAUCAUUACCAUCAUCAAACUGAACCCUAAAUUACCUAGUUUCUUUUUUCCCCCCUCUCUGCACUUUUUAAUUGCUAGUUGAUGAGGCUUGCAUUAUGUGAUGUCCUCGCUGUGAGGUACGUUUAGUACUACACUAUUUUCUGAUGCCUCAUUUGAUAUAAAGGUGCAAUAUUAUGAUCUAAAAUUUUCCAACAUUUAACUUUUUUUUUUUUAAAUACCCAUUUAUGACUCAUAGAUCAGGGAAAUACAGAAACAUGAAGGCAUGUGAGGUGUGAAACAUGAAGGCAUGCACUGGUACUUAACAAAUUAUAUUGUGCGUGUAUAUACACACACAAUCACAAUAUUCUGCACUCACUGGCUUAGAAAUGUAAAUGCUACAGUGCUAUUCUGGUC